GAAAUCGACAUGGGGUGCGCUCCUUGGAGCGCUGAGAACACACCCAUUGAACCUGCUCUAGCUCAUACUAGCGAAGGAAUUGUCGAGGUCUUUCACA
rnacentral:ncRNA from 2 species